rnacentral:rRNA from 1 species
UAAUACAUGCAAGUCGAACGAACUCUGGUAUUGAUUGGUGCUUGCAUCAUGAUUUACAUUUGAGUGAGUGGCGAACUGGUGAGUAACACGUGGGAAAUCUGCCCAGAAGCGGGGGAUAACACCUGGAAACAGAUGCUAAUACCGCAUAACAACUUGGACCGCAUGGUCCGAGUUUGAAAGAUGGCUUCGGCUAUCACUUUUGGAUGGUCCCGCGGCGUAUUAGCUAGAUGGUGGGGUAACGGCUCACCAUGGCAAUGAUACGUAGCCGACCUGAGAGGGUAAUCGGCCACAUUGGGACUGAGACACGGCCCAAACUCCUACGGGAGGCAGCAGUAGGGAAUCUUCCACAAUGGACGAAAGUCUGAUGGAGCAACGCCGCGUGAGUGAAGAAAGGUUUCGGCUCGUAAAACUCUGUUGUUAAAGAAGAACAUAUCUGAGAGUAACUGUUCAGGUAUUGACGGUAUUUAACCAGAAAGCCACGGCUAACUACUGGCCAGCAGCCGCGGUAAUACGUAGGUGGCAAGCGUUGUCCGGAUUUAUUGGGCGUAAAGCGAGCGCAGGCGGUUUUUUAAGUCUGAUGUGAAAGCCUUCGGCUCAACCGAAGAAGUGCAUCGGAAACUGGGAAACUUGAGUGCAGAAGAGGACAGUGGAACUCCAUGUGUAGCGGUGAAAUGCGUAGAUAUAUGGAAGAACACCAGUGGCGAAGGCGGCUGUCUGGUCUGUAACUGACGCUGAGGCUCGAAAGUAUGGGUAGCAAACAGGAUUAGAUACCCUGGUAGUCCAUACCGUAAACGAUGAAUGCUAAGUGUUGGAGGGUUUCCGCCCUUCAGUGCUGCAGCUAACGCAUUAAGCAUUCCGCCUGGGGAGUACGGCCGCAAGGCUGAAACUCAAAGGAAUUGACGGGGGCCCGCACAAGCGGUGGAGCAUGUGGUUUAAUUCGAAGCUACGCGAAGAACCUUACCAGGUCUUGACAUACUAUGCAAAUCUAAGAGAUUAGACGUUCCCUUCGGGGACAUGGAUACAGGUGGUGCAUGGUUGUCGUCAGCUCGUGUCGUGAGAUGUUGGGUUAAGUCCCGCAACGAGCGCAACCCUUAUUAUCAGUUGCCAGCAUUAAGUUGGGCACUCUGGUGAGACUGCCGGUGACAAACCGGAGGAAGGUGGGGAUGACGUCAAAUCAUCAUGCCCCUUAUGACCUGGGCUACACACGUGCUACAAUGGAUGGUACAACGAGUUGCGAACUCGCGAGAGUAAGCUAAUCUCUUAAAGCCAUUCUCAGUUCGGAUUGUAGGCUGCAACUCGCCUACAUGAAGUCGGAAUCGCUAGUAAUCGCGGAUCAGCAUGCCGCGGUGAAUACGUUCCCGGGCCUUGUACACACCGCCCGUCACACCAUGAGAGUUUGUAACACCCAAAGUCGGUGGGGUAACCUUUUAGGAACCAGCCGCCUAAGGUGGGACAGAUGAUUAGGGUGAAGUCGUAACAAGGUAGCCGUAGGAGAACC